CGCCUCGCCUCAGGGACAAGAUGUCGGAGGGGCCCCGUCAGCGCGGGGCGGAGCGGGACGGGGACUCCCCAGGGUACUUCAGCUGAAUUUUCCUCCCAUGGCAGGGGGCCCCGGGGGAAGUUUGAGCCCCACACAGCCCCCAGGAGGACGGGGGCUUCACCCCACGGAGGCAGCGCCCCCCGCUCCCGGGGAACCUUCGGGGGACGACCAGUGCUGCCUGGAGCCGCGGAGACGUUUGCUGGGAGCUUAAUGAGCGCUCAGCCACAGCAGAGGCAGUGCUCGGGGGCCGGCUGCUAAUGCAGGAGGUGGCAGCGACCACAGGCACAGGCAGUGCUUUUCUGACCAGUAAGGAGUCAUGCUGGAUAGAGUCAUGUAGCCUUUGUGUUGGAGGACAAUGACAGUACCCUGACUUCUCAGAACAAAAACACACCUGAAGGAUGUCAGCAUCCCACGACCGACACGACAGUCCUUACUGAAUCUGGCGGGAUGCUACUAAACGCCUGAUGGAAACACACAGAAGCAAAGGGAGGAAAUCACCACCAGGCUAAGGAAAAACGUCAUCUUCUGGACACAUCAGCGCCACACCAGUUCACGAAUUGGUGAGCAGUGCACAAACACCAAUGUGGAGGCUAUCAAGAAGACAGAGCCAGAAAAACAGCCAGGGCUGGAACAGAUCACAGCAAAUGCAGGCUUUCUUGAAGGAGUGGAUAGAAGAGAGAGCACGCUCUGGCCUGCCUGAGGUAUGUUAUUUUGUAUAAUUUGAUUCAAAAGGUAAAAGUCACUUUAUGCAUGAGCAGUAUUAUGCAUUUUUAGUAUUUGUAAAUGACUAAGAGCAGAGUUCUCUUCCAAAAUUUAUUACAUGGGAGAUUGUUUUAUUAUCAUGUCCUUGUCCUGAAAACAUCCUAACCCCUCGUUGCAACCAUCAGCAGUUAUACUGUUAGAAAAAACAGCACAAAGACAGACUGGCCAGGCAGGGAGACACUAGAGCAAAGCUGUUAAAACAAGGACAAGCUGUGAAGUGCUCUCCUGCAGUGAAGGGUCCUCUGUGAAAUGCAGGGACGUGGAUUUGUGUGACCACCGUCACCCACAUUCCCUGUGGCAGAAGGAACAGACACCGAAGGAGAAGGACAAUCCAUUGCACAAAGCACGCUCACAGCCUGCCCUCAGCCCUUAGGGGCUGCAGCAUCCAACAGGAUUUGGCCGCUUGUAUCUUUCCUUCCCUGCCCCACUGACCCCAGCACCAAAUUCCCACCAGCUUCAAAAAGGAGAACUUGAUCAGGAGCCAGUAAGUCACAGUUAUUGCGGCUUUUGUUUUUAUGUCGUGUAAAGGCCUUUUUUUUUUUUUUUUUUUGAUGGAAGACUGGUAACAAAGAGCCUAUUACAUGGUGAAAUACCAGUCUCAGGCAGGAAUUAAAUGAGUAACAACAUCACAAGCCCAGCUUUAAUAGUCAAAACAAGAAAUAAGCAAAUCAUAUAAAUGUCACGACCAACCCUCUUAUUUCAAGCACAUGCUUUGCAGAGCACGAUAAAUACCGUUUAACUUCUUUCCAAAUCCUCAAGCAAACAAAAACAUCCAAGCAUGGUGUCAUUUAUUCAUGUUGGCCGAGGAAGUAAGUUUGCCAGUACAGUCGAAAGAGCAGCUCCAAGCAAGUGAUAAAAAGCAAAAUUCACAGCUGUGGAUGGCCGCAGCCAUAUCCAGCUUGUUAAGAAUCCAGCUUUUUAAGAACUCCAUAGAAGUGAGAAGUUAAGUUUGUAAGCAUGAUUUUUUAUUUACUUAUUUAUUAAUUUUAUAACCCAGGAAAACAUGCAAUUAAAAAUACAGUGUAACACAGGCACCUUCCAGUUCAGCUGUUGUAACAACAGCCAACAAAGACACUGUCAGGGUUUCAGACCUCUGCCAGGACAGCUGCGCCCAUCAUUCUGUGAUUUCAUUUAAAUUCCUAAUUU